UACUUUUGGUCUGGAGAAUGUUUGCACUGAUGGACUGUAUUAUUUAAAUACAGUCACAUGAUGCUCUAAUGUUUACAUCUUAGGAUAAUAGAAGCAAUAUUUCCACAACAAAAUGCCUUUUCUGCAUGUGUGUUUUAAGACGUGUUUUGUUGACUUAAAUUAUUUGCUACGAACUUUCCUUUAAUUGCGAUGAUAGAUCUAUAGAUACAGAAAAUAAUAGACCAGUCAUGUCAGCGAGCGUUCAUUUGUCACCCAUGUGUGUAACUGAUUGUAAACAGAAUAUAAUUAUUCCUAACAUUUUUUAAAGAGUUUUAUCAAAGCCAUGCCAAAACUUUCAUUUGUAUCAAGUUAAUCUUUGCAUAUUUACUCCACAGCAGCUGUAAGAGGGAGGUAGAUCAACAAAUCCAUCACUCAAACUAAACAAUCGGCUCUAAAAACUCUUAAUCGCUUCUGUUUGAGUUCACUUUCCUCUCUCUGAUGCACUCUACCUAUCGCUCAGUUUAUCUGGGAACAUAAAAAGGUACUUUCCUGCCUGUAAAAUACUUCAAACAAUAAUAUAUUUAACGUUGCUUUGGCGAAGAUGUAUUUUAUUUGAAGCAGAAGGAAGAUGUAUAUAGCGUUACCACAUGUCAGCAUCUACUGGGUUCUAUUUUGGAGAAAGAUUUCUUUAUAAUGUCCCUUAUCAUUGUAAUAAGAAAGAUUGUUCUAUUUUUCGAGCUGCGAGUUGUGAUAAUAUAUUUGCACAUGAAAUCUGACUCUCCUCAGGAUUUCAUGUGGGUUUUGUCAAACGCCUCGUCUCCACUGGCCAGACUUCAGCAUCGUAGUGGUCGUUCUGGAGGUCAGACGAACCUCAGCUGAGCUCUGCUGCCAACGGAGACGAGGCUGAAGUGUUCUUAUGCAAGCUGCAAUGGUCUCGUACACUGCCUGCUUUGUUUCAUCAAUUUGAUUCCAUAUUUAAUUCCUACCUUGAUAUUGUAUAAAGUGCCCCUUUGGAAUAAUAAAACUUGGUUUCUUAAAUGUGUUGUUUAAAUCCAACUACAUAAAGCAGAAUAAUUAUGUUGAGCCUCGUCUUUUUUUCCAGAUGUCUCUGACUGGAAGUUAAUUUUCAGCCUCUGACCGACUACGUGCUGUUUGAGUCUGUUUCCUGAUCUGAAGUCAGAAUGAGUCCGUUUUUCUGCAGAUGUGAAACUACAGUUAAAGUUUGCCUCAGGGACUGAAUGAGUACAUUUAAUUUACUUCCCCAAACGGAGCUUCUCACUUAAAGGAAUUCUUCAAGGCGAAGAUCGAUCAGCUCUACAGCAGCAUCUACAGCAACAUCUCCAUGUGAAAGCCGGCGAAGCUCAUUUUCCUCCAAGCAUCCCGACUCUACGAACUGCUUCGACCAGCGACCUGCAGUGGGACAAAGACGCGUCACCUGAGGAUUAACAUGCUUUUGAGAAGCAAACCAAAACUGGCACAACUGUAGAGGAUUUGAAAUGCCUAGAUAAAAACAAAUUAAAGCAAGAAACUGAAAUGCACAUUGUCAUAUGUAUUUCCUUUUGGUUCGUGCAUUUAAUCUGUUCAAAGCGUACGUUAAAAGGAUAGUUUUACCUUAGCUGACAUUUAAGUGAGACUCUACAUUAUUAUUUGACACAAAUCUAUCUAAAUCAAAAAUUUU
ensembl:lncRNA